CCUACGGGAGGCAGCAGUGGGGAAUAUUGGGCAAUGGACGUAAGUCUGACCCAGCAACGCCGCGUGAAGGAAGAAGGCUUUCUGGUUGUAAACUCCUUUUAAGGGGGAAGAGCAGAUGACGGUACCUCUUGAAUAAGCCACUACUAACUACGUGCCAGCAGCCGCGGUAAUACGUAGGUGGCAAGCGUUUUCCGAAUUUACUGGGGGUAAAGGGCGUUCAUCCGGGAAGACAAGUCAGAUGUGAAAUCCACGGGCUCAAACCGUGAACUGCCUUUGAAACUGUUUCCCUUGAGUGUCGGAGAGGUAAUCGGAAUUCCUAGUGUAGCGGUGAAAUGCGUAGAUAUUAGGAAGAACACCAGUGGCGAAGGCGGAUUACUGGACGAUAACUGACGGUGAGGCGCGAAAGCGUGGGGAGCAAACAGGAUUAGAUACCCUUGUAGUC
rnacentral:rRNA from 1 species